rnacentral:lncRNA from 1 species
UCCACUUUACCUAUUGUUUUAUCACUUAAUUUAUAUACUUUAACAACUAUAACUUAAAUUUUACAUGAAUCAUUUUUCAAGUCCAUUGAUUGAGAUUGAAGGCGUCAGUCGAAGCCUAACUUCACAAGCUAAACGGCUACUUUCUUACCUUACUCUCUACUUUGUCAUUUACUUUAUAUUAACUUUAUGACUAUAAUAACUAUACGCUGAACUUUAAAUGAAAAUUUAUUCAAGACUACAAGCAUCGACAUCAAAUUCGUCGUUCAAAGACCGAUGACUACAUCAUCAUAAGACAAACAACUUCAUUCUUACUUUAUUAUUCACACUAUCACUACUUUAUCAUGCACUUUUAACUUUAUGACUUUAUCCUAAACUUUACAGGAAUAAUCAUCAAGUUUUCAGAGACAAAUGGAAGCAUCAUUCAACAUCAAUCUUCAAAGACAACCGGAGUAUCAUUUGGACGACAUCAUCUUCAUAAGCCAAACGGCUUCAUUCAUACUUUAUCAUUGACUUUACCUUACUUUAUUAUUAUUUUACGACUUCAUGACUUUAUCUUGAACUUUACAUGCAACUUUAACCGCGACUUUACAUUCAUCAUACAAUCUCCGAAGACAAUCGGAGGCAUCAUUAACAUCAAUCUACCAACCACAAUUGGAGGGACAUUUAGGCCCGUCCGCAUUCAAUAGAAAAUUUAGGCUUAUCCUCCUUUAAUAGGAUAUUUAGGCUCGUCCACCUUCAACGAGACAUUUAGGCUUGUCCGCUUUCAAUAGAACAUUUAGGCUCGUCUGCCUUUAAUAGGACAUUUAGGCUCGUCUACCUUCAAUUGGACAUUUAAGAUGGUCCGCCUUUAAUAGGACAUUUAAGGCUCAUCUGCCUUCAAUAGGAUAUUAGGCUCGUCCGCCUUCAAUAGGACAUUUAGGCCCGUCCGCCUUAAAUAGGACAUUUAGGCUUAUUCGCCUUUAAUAGGACAUUUAGGCUUAUUCGCCUUUAAUAGGAUAUUUGGAUUUGUCCGCCCUUAAAUAGGACAUACUGAGUUCGUCUGCCCUUGAAUAGGACCUAUUGGCUCGUCUACCCUCUAAUUGGACAUAUCUGGCAACUUUACCCAAGAUUUUACAAGCAUACUCUAUCAUCAAGUCCCCGAACACAACCGGAGGUAUCAUUCGUCAUCAAAACUCCAAAGACAAUCGGAGACAUCAUUCAUCAUCAAAUCUUCAAAGACAAACGGAGGCAUCAAUCAUCAUCAAGUCCCCGAAGAAAAUUGGAAACAUCAUUUAGCCACAUGGCUCCAUCAUCAUAAGCCAUAUAGCUUCAUUACUAGUUUAGCAUUGAUUUCACCCAUUACUUUUGUUAUGACUUUACGACUUUAUGACUUUACCCUGAACUUUACAGACAAUUUUAUUCAAGAAUUUAGAAGCACCAAUGUCAAGCAACUUUAUCUAAGACCUUACAAGCAACUUCAUACAAGACUUUACAGACAUUAUAUCAAGGUCAUUUGUUCAACAAUCAGAGGCAGCAUCACUGCCUUCAUGGUCUCAUCCUCAUUCUCAUAAUCAUAUUCAUUAUCAUUUUAUUCUCUUUAUAAUUUUGCACCUGUGACGUUAUACUAAACUUAAAUAAUGAUUUUAUUACGAACUUUUAGAUGCAUAUUUGCCUGAAACUCUAAAAGAUACAUUUUUUUAGCAAAACACUAUUAACAUUCUUUUUUGAAAUCACAUAUGUCAAUUUCAGCUCGUCACAACUUCACAAUCGUUUACAUAGCCAAACGGCUUCACUCUUGUUUCAUUUUAUUCUUUAUUUGCUUAUCACUUUAUCCUACUUUAUUUUCUUAUUACUUUAUCUCACUUUAUGUGCUAACUAUUUUAUUUUAGAUUUGACAGAAAAUACAAUUUGAAUAUGCUGAUUACAACAACAGGAGAUACACAACACAAUGUGCAAAUUCCUCUCAGCAGUAUUAUGGAAUAAGUUUAGCAUGUAAAUAUCUAUUGUCUAUUCUUAUUUAAGUAUCGAUAGAGGUUUUUAACAUGAUAUGCACAUAGAAAUUACAAAAGGGUUCUAGCCUACCGACAUUUUGAACAAGAAAAUACAUAUACUUUCUAAUAAAAAGACAGUCAUAGCACAAGUUUUCUAAUAUGUACACAACAAAAAAAAUUGUCUGACUCAUGAUUUUCAAUGAACCAAAAAACACAGAAUGACGACUUGAAUUAAAUGGUAUCAAGAAACCGUGCUGAAUGUCCAUAUAUAAACCAUACAAAAUGAAAGGAAAACACGUACUGGAUCAAAAAUGAAAAAGCGAAAUCACUGACCUUUUACGGGGUAGUGAACUCAGUCCUUCGAUCUGCUAUCAAACUCUAACCUCGACCUUGCUACCUCAAGCUACGUUCGAGUAGCAAAAUUGCUUCUGAUUUGGUUAGAAAACCAACAGAAACAGAGAGAAUACAAGAAGGGAAGAACCAAGUUUUAAGAAUGAUUUUGAGGAGUGAAAAUGAUAGAAGAGCAGUAGAGUUAGGAUUUGAGGUAGCCAAGAACGUUCUCCCGGAAACUUUUUAAUGGCUGGUAUUUCUAAGGACAAGUUAGGGUUUAGACUUGGAAUUUGAGCGGAAUUUUGGUUCCAAUUUCAGUCAUAAACAUUUGAAUUUCAAACGUUACAAAUCUUCAAGGACACCUUUUGGCAGAGGGGAAAUCAGAAGAUAAAUAAAAAAGAGAUUUCACCUCUGGUUUUGAAUUACUAUGGUCAAAUUUGCCAAAAUUGGAGAUAGAGAUAAAGGAUGACUCGCAAAGAGAGAGAAAUAAAGAGAAAAGCAAGUGAAAAACCCUAGUCAAACUAGGUAUUGAGAUUUUAUCUAAGAAGGGAUCAUGGUCGCUGGGUUAGAAUCUAUAUAUGGCUGAGAUUAAACCUAGGGUAAAUAAAUAAUAAACAAAACAAUUUAAGUGCUGGCAUUUAUUUUUGGAAUUCUCUAAAAGGUGGUUAAUACCUUUAGAUUUAUUAUAACUUUAUGUUUCAACUAAUAACUUUAGCCUGACUUUUGCAGGAACGCGUAUAAAGUCAUUCAAGAUCAGAGGCAUCAUUCAGCCCGAUGAUGCAUCACAUCAUUAGUCGAGUAGCCCGGCCACAUAUGGGAUCAGUAAUACCUUAUAUUCCUUUCGUACCCGACCACACAUGGG